CAAUAUUCCAGGGGGCGCUGUAGAGCCCCUGUGCCACGCCCGUGUACCAGUCUCUGCCCGGCCCUAAUGGCCGCAGAUUCCAAGGUGUGUGCCAAUUUUCAAGACUUUUUAAGCAUGUUAAGGGCCCCAAAAGCCCCCGAACCCUUGGAAAAAAAUUAGAGGAAUAAAGAAAGAAAAAAAAAAAUUAAAGCUGCAAGCAGCGAUGAACGGGCCCUCGCACCCGGGCUCACCGCCAUCGUGUGGCUUUAGUAAAAAGGUGAACGGUGAGAAAUAUGCAUUUAAAGUCGUAAAUAUAAGUGGAAUAUGUCAAAGUCAUUUAUAUGUGCCAAUUUUCCUGUUGCCAGCAGGUGGCGCUAUGACUAUAACUGAAUAUGGGCACGUAGAUCUGUUCAGGUCAGAAGUCAUAUCUAACAUGUGAAGUUUGGGGUAGAUUGGACAUUGUAUGUCUGAGUUAGAGCAACUUCCUUUUUCAUGGCGAAAC
ensembl:lncRNA